GACGAACGCUGGCGGCGUGCUUAACACAUGCAAGUCGAACGGAAAGGCCCUGCUUGCAGGGUACUCGAGUGGCGAACGGGUGAGUAACACGUGGGUGAUCUGCCCUGCACUUCGGGAUACGCCUGGUAAACUGGGUCUAAUACCGGAUAGGAGCCAUUUUUAGUGUGAUGGUUGGACAGUUUUUUCGGUGUAGGAUGAGCUCGCGGCCUAUCAGCUUGUUGGUGGGGUAAUGGCCUACCAAGGCGGCGACGGGUAGCCGGCCUGAGAGGGUGGACGGCCACACUGGGACUGAGAGACGGCCCAGACGCCGACGGGAGGAAGCAGGGGGGAAGAUUGCACAAGGGGCGCAAGCCGGAUGCAGCGACGCCGCGGGGGGGAUGACGGCCUUCGGGUUGGAAACGCCUUUCGCGAGGGACGAAGCUUUUUGUGACGGUACCUAGAGAAGAAGCACCGGCUAACUACGUG
rnacentral:rRNA from 1 species